rnacentral:tRNA from 1 species
GGGGAUAUAACUCAAUUGGUAGAGUGUAUGCUUUGCAAGCAUGAAGCCAUCGGUUCGAGCCCGAUUAUCUCCA